rnacentral:rRNA from 1 species
GUGGGGAAUAUUGGACAAUGGGGGGAACCCUGAUCCAGCCAUGCCGCGUGUGUGAAGAAGGCCUUUUGGUUGUAAAGCACUUUAAGCGAGGAGGAGGCUACCGAGAUUAAUACUCUUGGAUAGUGGACGUUACUCGCAGAAUAAGCACCGGCUAACUCUGUGCCAGCAGCCGCGGGAAUACAGAGGGUGCAAGCGUUAAUCGGAUUUACUGGGCGUAAAGCGCGCGUAGGUGGCCAAUUAAGUCAAAUGUGAAAUCCCCGGGCUUAACUUGGGGAUUGCAUUCGAUACUGGUUGGCUAGAGUAUGGGAGGGGAUGGUAGAAUUCCAGGUGUAGCGGUGAAAUGCGUAGAGAUCUGGAGGAAUACCGAUGGCGAAGGCAGCCAUCUGGCCUAAUACUGACACUGAGGUGCGAAAGCAUGGGGAGCAAACAGGAUUAGAAACCCUUGUAGUCC